rnacentral:rRNA from 1 species
AUUGAACGCCGGCGGCAGGCCUAACACAUGCACGUCGAACGGUAACAGGAAGAAGCUUGCUUCUUUGCUGACGAGCGGCGGACGGGUGAGUAAUGUCUGGGAAACUGCCCGAUGGAGGGGGAUAACUACUGGAAACGGUAGCUAAUACCGCAUAACGUCGCAAGACCAAAGAGGGGGACCUUCGGGCCUCUUGCCAUCUGAUGUGCCCAGAUGGGCUUAGCUAGUAGGUGGGGUAACGGCUCACCUAGGCGACGAUCCAUAGCUGGUCUAAGAGGAUGACCAGCCACACUAGAAUCGAGAUAUGGUGGAAGAGCAUACGGAAUGCAACAGUGAGGAAUAUUGUACAAAGGGCGCAAUCCUGAUGCAUGCAUGCCGCGUAUAGGGAGAAGGUCUUCGGGUUGUGAAGUAGUUUCAGUGGGGAAGAACGGAGUGAAGUUAAUAGCUUGUCUCUGUGACGUGGCCCGCAGAAGAAGCACCGGCUAACUCCGUG